UUGUUGGGUGGGGUAACGGCUCACCAAGGCAACGAUGCGUAGCUGACCUGAGAGGGUGGUCGGCCACAUUGGGACUGAGACACGGCCCAAACUCCUACGGGAGGCAGCAGUAGGGAAUCUUCCGCAAUGGACGAAAGUCUGACGGAGCAACGCCGCGUGAGUGAAGAAGGCCUUCGGGUCGUAAAACUCUGUUGCCGGGGAAGAACAAGUACCGUUCGAACAGGGCGGCGCCUUGACGGUACCCGGCCAGAAAGCCACGGCUAACUACGUGCCAGCAGCCGCGGUAAUACGUAGGUGGCAAGCGUUGUCCGGAAUUAUUGGGCGUAAAGCGCGCGCAGGCGGCUUCUUAAGUCUGAUGUGAAAUCUUGCGGAUCAACCGCAAGCGGUCAUUGGAAACUGGGAGGCUUGAGUGCAGAAGAGGAGAGUGGAAUUCCACGUGUAGCGGUGAAAUGUGUAGAGAUGUGGAGGAACACCAGUGGGGAAGGGGGCUCUUUGGUCUGUAACUGACGCUGAGGCGCGAAAGAGUGGGGAGCAAACACGAUUAGAUACCCCGGUAGUGCACGCCGUAAACGAUGAGUAAUAAGUGUUAGAGGGUUUCCUCCUUUUAGUGGUGCAGCUAACGCAUAAGCAUCCGC
rnacentral:rRNA from 1 species